UAAUUAACCAAGGUUACCUAACUUUGCUCUUGACGAAUUAUUAUUUUAAUUUAUAAGGAAAAUGAGGCUGCCUAGAAAGAAUGUUGUGUAUGAUAUAGCACAUAAGAGUACUGUUAUAGGAUUAGUUGGUACCAUGUUGUAUUCUAUGUCCGUAUUAGCCUUCAAAAUGUAUGAGAUCUCUUAUAUUACUCCUCCAAUGAAGAAUGAGAUAAUAAAUUUGGUGAAGGAACAGGAAAUGAGAGAUGCACAGGCACUGCACGAGAGAGAACUUAUGGGACAUUCAAAAUAAACCACAUCAAUAUCAUAUCAACUCAUUUAAAAUGGUUUCAUAUUCAUAUGUGCAUUAGAGUGUUAUAAGUUCAAUGAUAAGAAAUUGAGUACAUGUACCAGUAUAUAGAUGCACAGAAACCAAGGAAUUCAGUUAUUUAAGUUGAUAUAUUUUUGUAGUAAUCAUAUAUAAAAAAAAUCCUGAUUUUAGAGUUCAUAUUUGAAUCUUUUCCUGAUGAGCCAUGCAGGUUCUUAUAUCUGUAUACGGCAUUUAAAAAAAAAAGAACAAACUAUUUAACAGUCUUGAUUCAUCUAAUUUUAGUCUCCAGGUCAAAUCAAAUGAUACAAACUGAAGAUUGAUAUAUUAUUUCAACUUCUGUAAUUCGUUGUUAUUUAACUUAGUGUACUUGGUGCAAUAGAUUCUGAAUGCAUUUUUAAACAAAACUAUUUUCACAAAUCAAGUCUGAAUUUCAUGAUUUGGUUUAUUUACUAUUUUUAGCGUGAUCUGUUAAUUUUCAGCACCAGGUUUUGUUUAGCGUAUGACUUUCUUCAUGAUUAUAAUAACUAGUACCAGAAAAUAAAAAAAGUAUUUUUUUUUGAUAAUUAUUUCAUCAAUCAUGAAUUAUGAUUUGAUAUAUUCUGAUCAAGCUCAAGAUCAUUUUAUGACUUUCAGAGAUUUGUGUCUGUGUAUAAUUAUUUAUGGUGUAUGUCACAGAAACUGUUUUGAUUUUAUCAAUCAUGCUUCAGUAAUUGAUUUAUAUCUUGUAUGAAUUGCUAUUAUAUAAGACAGAGACUUGUUAAAAUAUAUAAUUUCAUAGGGAGUACAUGUUAUAGGUGUAAAUGGUCAUUGAAUGUUUGUAUCUGUUUGAACAUGUUUGUAAAUAAAGAAUUUUAAAUAA